rnacentral:rRNA from 1 species
AUGGCAAUGGCUACGAAGAUGCUGCUCCUGCUCGCUGCCGUGGCUCUUCUUGUGGCCUCCAGCGGCGCAUGGGAGACUAACAUGCACAUGCCGACGUCAGUUGCCACAGUCACCGCCAUGGAUGAGGCCGUGGCGCCGCUGAUCCAUGCGCUGCGGCCGCUGUUGGGCUCGGGCGGGCAGCUGGGGAGCCACGCCGGCGUGGCAUGCGACAGCUGGCGGCUGGGUGUGGAGGCGCACAACGUGCGUGACUGGAAGACGGUCCCCGCCAGCUGCGAGGGCUACGUCGGGCACUACAUGCUCGGCGGUCACUACCGCCGCGAUUCCAAGGUUGUCAUUGACCAGGCUAUCUCCUACGUCGAGAGCCUGAAGCUCGCCGGCAACGGCAAGGAGGUGUGGGUCUUCGACGUCGACGAGACCACGCUCUCCAACCUCCCCUACUACGCCACUCACGGCUUCGGGUACGUGCCUAUAUAG